rnacentral:rRNA from 1 species
AUUGAACGCUGGCGGCAUGCCUUACACAUGCAAGUCGAACGGCAGCACGGGAGCAAUCCUGGUGGCGAGUGGCGAACGGGUGAGUAAUAUAUCGGAACGUGCCCAGUCGUGGGGGAUAACGUAGCGAAAGCUACGCUAAUACCGCAUACGAUCUACGGAUGAAAGCGGGGGAUCGCAAGACCUCGCGCGAUUGGAGCGGCCGAUAUCAGAUUAGCUAGUUGGUGGGGUAAAAGCUCACCAAGGCGACGAUCUGUAGCUGGUCUGAGAGGACGACCAGCCACACUGGAACUGAGACACGGUCCAGACUCCUACGGGAGGCAGCAGUGGGGAAUUUUGGACAAUGGGCGCAAGCCUGAUCCAGCAAUGCCGCGUGCAGGAUGAAGGCCUUCGGUUGUAACUAGCUUUGUACGGUAACGAAACGGUAGAGCUCUAAUAAAGACUUGCUAAUGACGGUACCGUAAGAAUAAGACACCGGCUAACUACGUGCC